CCCCAAGAUCAACAAUGAGACAAUACUCAAUCAAAUCCCACCAUGCCAAGGUAAAGUAAGUAGUUUGGUUUGUAGGCAUAUGAAGACAUCAGACAUCUAUGUCCCUGUACUUGUCCCUGUCCUCCUGUCGUCAAACAUUCUGGGUCGUUUCAAACACAAGCUGCUUUUUUUCCACAGCAAACUGGGAGCCAGUGUCCAGUCAUGUCCUGUUAACCGUGACACAAGGACCAUCACAGAGUCCUGACACCGCUUUAGACAUGGCCGCUCCGGCUGGUCAUGGGAAGACAGCUUGGCUCCUGUCGACACAACAGCGGGCUUUGUACAAAAAAACACGGAUCAGCUCUGAGGAACCUAUGGCAGUGAAUCGGCUCCUGUGUCCACUACAUAAGGGAUUGAUUCAGCGUGGGUAUCCUUUCAACAAAGCCUUUGACAGUG